AGUGAACGCUGGCGGUAGACCUAACACAUGCAAGUCGAACGGCAGCACAGUAAGAGCUUGCUCUUACGGGUGGCGAGUGGCGGACGGGUGAGGAAUACAUCGGAAUCUACUUUUUCGUGGGGGAUAACGUAGGGAAACUUACGCUAAUACCGCAUACGACCUACGGGUGAAAGCAGGGGAUCUUCGGACCUUGCGCGAUUGAAUGAGCCGAUGUCGGAUUAGCUAGUUGGCGGGGUAAAGGCCCACCAAGGCGACGAUCCGUAGCUGGUCUGAGAGGAUGAUCAGCCACACUGGAACUGAGACACGGUCCAGACUCCUACGGGAGGCAGCAGUGGGGAAUAUUGGACAAUGGGCGCAAGCCUGAUCCAGCCAUACCGCGUGGGUGAAGAAGGCCUUCGGGUUGUAAAGCCCUUUUAUUGGGAAAGAAAAGCAGCAGGUUAAUACCCCGCUGUUCUGACGGUACCCAAAGAAUAAGCACCGGCUAACUUCGUG
rnacentral:rRNA from 1 species